rnacentral:rRNA from 1 species
ACGGAAGGCAGCAGUGGGGAAUAUUGCACAAUGGGGGAAACCCUGAUGCAGCGACGCCGCGUGAGUGAAGAAGUAUUUCGGUAUGUAAAGCUCUAUCAGCAGGGACGAAUCAAAUGACGGUACCUGACUAAGAAGCCCCGGCUAACUACGUGCCAGCAGCCGCGGUAAUACGUAGGGGGCAAGCGUUAUCCGGAUUUACUGGGUGUAAAGGGAGCGUAGACGGUCACGCAAGUCUGAUGUGAAAACCCAGGGCUUAACCUUGGGCCUGCAUUGGAAACUGCGAGACUAGAGUGCAGGAGAGGUAAGUGGAAUUCCUAGUGUAGCGGUGAAAUGCGUAGAUAUUAGGAGGAACACCAGUGGCGAAGGCGGCUUACUGGACUGUAACUGACGUUGAGGCUCGAAAGCGUGGGGAGCAAACAGGAUUAGAUACCCUGGUA